GUCAGAUAGGAACAAUCCCAGUGGUCGAACUAAAACCCCUGUGGUGUUUUUGUCGACUACACGGAGAUAACUGGAAAUACUAGUUAGUAUGAUUUAAAUGAUUUCCAUACUAUUUUGUAAUUAUAAUCGUUUCAAAGAUUUCAAUUUUAUUCUUUGUCAUGCAUUUUCAGGAUAAAAUAAUUUCUAUGCAUUUUGUCUUGCCGAUGUUAAUCUUGAGACUUCGCCAUUUUACAUCAGUACCCGCUCAGAGACCAUCGGCAGAUGUGGAAAACCGUGCGACUUCUACUGUUAAGAUUUUCGUAGAAAAAAAAAUGUGUUCGACAUUAGUUUCACGAAAAAUAGCGCCAUGGAAGCUAGAAACGAAAUCAAACCGGACAGGAUCUAAUUUCAGCGAAAUGGUCGCCGUGGCCGUUCAAUCAUCCAAAGCUUGGUUGGCCGCAGCAGCAGCUGUAUCAGGACAAAUGGCUGAUUUUCCCAAAACUAAGAACGGACUGUUACCAGCUUAUUUGGAAAUCAUCCUGGAAUGCACAGAGCCUAAGCCAUCUGAAGAAACACGGACGGGAACCGAACAGCGUAAAUUAUUUCUGAAAUAUGAUUAUUCUUGAAAGCUUUUGAAAUAUAUUCGUCAAAUUGCUCAAUUGUUA